GAGUGAAGAAAGAAGAAUAAAGAAUGUAUAAUUGAAGAGUGUGUCAGUGAGAGUUACUGUAUAACAAAUCUUGCUCCCUGCCACAUGAUGCAUCAUAAAUUUCAUUCAAAUUCCUCAUUGAUACUUCUUAAAGUCUGUAUACACAUUCACUUUCUUGAAAGCUUAGUACACUGUCACGAGGUAGAGCUUUGCCGUCAUUACAGUCUUGUCUGACUCGAGAGAUUAGUAUUUACGGUUGUGCUCAGUCAGUUACAUAUCUGACUCGAACAUGAGUAUUUGCAUUUGAUACUCAUUUGACACUAAAAAUGAAGACCCUUUCUAGUCAGAGCUUGUCAACAUCUAGGUUUGUAUAUGGUGAUUGAUUGUAAUUUGAUAUUGGUACAACUGAACUAUUCAUUGUUUCAAGCUUAUCAAGCACACAAACACCAGAUACGACAGGGACGCUGGCAAUAAUUUGAGAAAUAAAAGUGAUUGUAAGUAUUCAGAACUCAGAAGAUACUACAUGUGAUAGUAUCGUGUUUGUGUCAGACACUGACAGAGUUGGACACACCUUCGAUUUGAAGUGUCAGUGCUACAUAUGUUGCAAGCUUAUAUUGUAUAAAGCUGUGGAGUGGAUUGUUUCUAUAUUUUAGAAAGUUUUCAUGUUCUUCAGGGUUUAGUUUAGUGUGAAAUUUGAAACUAAUAGGGUUAAAUGAAAGGUGUGAUUUGGAGGGUUGCAUCUCCGAAUGGUUCUUCAAAUCUGAAACCACUUUCGCGGAUUAUAUUUUCAAUUGGAGUAGUAGCAGUAUUCAUAACUUUUGCUUCAUGGUUUUUUCUAUCAUACCCUAUUGGUUCAACUGUUCAUGGUUAUUUCAAUGGUGUAGAGAGUUCACAAACUUCUGGUUUAUCAGUCUCUCAGAAAAUCAAUACAACUUCUGUUGAUCUUCACAAGAAUUCAAGUUUAGAUUUAGUAGAUAAUAAAACAGUCAUUGAUCUGCAACCUUCCAUAGUUUCCAGUGGUGUGUUAAGUGAUAAUAGUAGCAAGAUAGAACAAAUUGAUACCAAUUCAAAUUCACAACUACCCUUGAGUGAAUCUGCUUCGCCAAAAAUUGUUCCAGUAACUAAGGAGGCGAGUGCGUUAGAAACUUCUGAUUCGGCUCCAAAAGAACCUAUUCCAAUGGCUAGUACCAAUUCCUCAAUUAUGAAAGGUUGUGAUCUGUACCAUGGAAAUUGGAUAUAUGAUUCAUCGGGACCGUUAUACACAAACAAGUCGUGCCCUGUAUUGACACAGACGCAGAAUUGUCAGGGUAAUGGGAGGCCUGAUAAGGAUUAUGAGAACUGGCGAUGGAAGCCUUUUCAGUGUGACAUCCCGCGAUUUGAUCCGAGGAAGUUUUUGGAUCUUAUGAGAGGCAAGACGUUGGCUUUCAUUGGAGAUUCUGUGGCUCGAAACCAGAUGGAGUCCAUGAUGUGUAUUCUUUGGCAGGUAGAGGAACCAAAAAAUCAGGGAACUCGCAAGAUGCAACGGUAUUAUUUUGAGUCAACAUCUGUAACGAUUGUUCGGAUAUGGUCAUCAUGGCUUGUCAAACACAAUUCAGAACCAUUCGACUUUGCUCCAGCUGGUGUGGAGAAAAUCUAUCUCGAAUCCCCUGAUGAGAUGUUCAUGGAAUUUCUCCCAACAUUUGAUGUGGUUGUUCUUUCAUCUGGUCAUUGGUUUACUAAACAAUCAGUAUACAUCUUGAACAAUGAGAUAGUUGGAGGACAAUUGUGGUGGCCGGACAAGUCUCGGCGUGCGAAGAUCAACAGCGUCGAAGCAUUUGGUAUAUCUGUUGAAACAAUUCUUACUGCUCUUGUUAAGCAUCCAAAUUAUACCGGACUUACAAUUUUGCGUUCCUAUUCGCCCGAUCAUUAUGAGGGUGGAGGAUGGAAUACCGGUGGAUCAUGCACUGGGAAAGUUAAACCUCUUGCACCCGGUGAAUUGGUGGAAAAUAAGUAUCUCGCUUCGAUGUAUGAGCAACAGGUUACAGGUUUUAACCGUGCGGCAAAAAAGGAGACAGAUAGAUCGAAGAUGGUAUUGAUGGAUAUUACUGAAGCGUUUCAAUACCGGCAUGAUGGUCAUCCUGGUCCAUAUAGGAGUACUGAUCCUAACAAAAUUACGAAACGAGGCCGAAAUGGAAGGCCACCACCACAGGAUUGCUUGCACUGGUGCAUGCCGGGACCUGUAGAUGCUUGGAAUGAGAUUGUAUUUGAAAUCAUUAAGAGAGAAUACGAUAGUGAUAACACAUCAUGAGAUUUUUUUUCCUUAACAGCCAAGCUGCAUUCAUCUUCUAAGCUCAAGAGGGCGACUUAUGCAUCAACGCACCUGUCUGAGGAAGGGUAGACUAGUCAAUUUACCUUCUGAUAGAACCAUAUUAUAGAGCAUUUAAUUAGUUUUAAAAGAUUCGUAUGAUAAGUUGUCAGCUCCAUGGUUCUAAAUUGUGGUCCCCUGCUGAAAAAUGCGGAUGCAAUUUUGGUUGUGAUGCCGUUACAGACACCUCUAAAAAAUAAUUUAUGUUGCAGCCUCAGUUAUAGUUGUAGAUCAGAAUUUAGAACUAUGGUUAGCACAUUCCUCAAUUUUCAAGAUCUUCUGCAUGCCUAAUCAGUUCUUGCAGUAAUGAAGAUGGAAGAUUAAUGGAUUGUUGGUAUGCAAGCAUCUCUACACUCAUAUGUAAGAUGCAUUGAGAUUUUGAAGCCUGUGUUUUGAAAUUGGAAUGCCAACAUUCUAAUCGAUGGGAACGCAGAAUCUCCAAAACUGUGGUGUGUGUUUGUUUGUUUUCUUAGAAAAAAUUGUGCUAAAGAGAUCGUAAAUCAUAAUUACCGGAUUAUGUAGUACGCGAAUAUAUCGCAUCCUCCUGAUAUAGUUUAAGCCAAACUAUUAUUGUAACAGGAGCAUUAUGAUGAUGUUUUUCAUAGUCUAGAUUACAAGAUUCAACUCUAUAUAGACAUUUCGGCCGAUCCUAAGUUCGAUUCUUGUGGAAUAAUUUUUGGUUAAGUUGUAGUUA